rnacentral:rRNA from 1 species
UGGGGAAUUUUCCGCAAUGGGCGAAAGCCUGACGGAGCCAUACCGCGUGAGGGAAGAAGGCGGAUUCGUUGUAAACCUCUUUUCUCAGGGAAGAAGAAAGUGACGGUACCUGAGGAAUCAGCAUCGGCUAACUCCGUGCCAGCAGCCGCGGUAAUACGGAGGAUGCAAGCGUUAUCCGGAAUUAUUGGGCGUAAAGCGUCCGCAGGUGGUCGUUCAAGUCUGCUGUCAAAGCCCGGGGCUUAACCCCGGAUCUGCAGUGGAAACUGAGGGACUAGAGUACGGUAGGGGUAGAGGGAAUUCCCAGUGUAGCGGUGAAAUGCGUAGAGAUUGGGAAGAACACCAGUGGCGAAAGCGCUCUACUGGACCGUAACUGACACUCACAGGACGAAAGCUAGGGGAGCGAAUGGGAUUAGAUACCCCCGUAGUCC